UGUGUGUGUGGUGUUCUAUAGAUGAGGAAUGAUAUACUUUUGAAAACAUUCUCUUUUGCAGGGAAAAAUAGUGGAUAUAGAUAUUUCAUUCUGAAGGCCAUUCAUGUUAAAAAAUGAUACUCUCUUGGACAAAGGAGACAAUGAUGGAGUGAAAUGCUCUUAUGUGAAAGCCUCUGUCACUCACCAGAAGAAGUUCACCAUCAGUUGAGAGCCCAUGUUAUGUCUCUGGGGAGGAAAGGUAGGUAAAGGAUACAGGAUUGGAAGGGAGUAACACCAUGCAAACUCUCAAAAGAGGACAAAACCAAUUAUAAUUUUUGUUUUUGUAAUAUAAGGAAAAUACUGUGUUUUAGAGGCAUUUCUACAUAAUUUGCCGUACUUUCUCAAAGACAGGAAGAAGAAUCCUUUUAAACGAAGUUUACGUUAUUAUUUCACAAAUACCGAGAUCUACAAAUUGAGGCAUUAAGUAUGGGAAAACAUUCUGGAAGCUAUAUUUCCUGAAGAACCUGAAGUCCCUGUUUUAGAGCUGAAAUCAUUAGGAUCCUAGUGAAAACCUACACACAGAAAGUAGGGUCAAAUGUAUCAAGGUGCUUGAAGAAAGACACAUUUCUCCCUCUGGUCCCGGCACCUCACACUCAUUUCUCUCAGUACCUCAUAUAUUUUCUUCUCUGUGUGGACUAACCAUUGACUUCAAAGGAAAAUCAUGCAAGGAAAGGAUUUGCAGGGUGUGGAAAGAAGCAGGAAUCUGGCUCCACAUAUUCUGAGAAACCUAUCCACAUGAUUAGUGAUGAAGAGAUUCAAGUGGCAAGAUGUUAAGAUGAAAGUACACAAAUAAUUAAUGGAAGGGAAUGGUUGAGACUGGAGAUUGUAAACUCUCCAAAGCCAAGAAUUUCAAAUAGAAGUCUAAAUUUUCGUUGUUAUUAUCUAAGACAUGGAUUUUUGCAAAUCGGCAGUCAUCUCCCUUUCUUUAGAGAAGGCAACAAUAUCACAAAUAAAGAUACCAAGAAGACAGAGACUGUGUCAGAUGUAAAUCAAAUGCUGAUAUUUGAGAAGCUGCAGCAUCAUCUCUUCCAAGGGGAUUUACAAAAUGAAGUGAUGUUCAGUGUGAUUUGAGGGGCCUCCCUAGGUAUUUUCUUCCUUCUCCUUUCCAGUUCUUAUUUAAGGUUUCAUUCUUCUAGAAGCCUCAUCCUGGCCUCCACCUUCACUGUCUGUUUCUGCCUACAACUUUCCUUCCACACAGGAACUGAAGCAACCACACUGAAGAACAACUUCAAUCAAGUACAUUUUCAACAAAAAAACUUUCAGCUGCUCGCAUGACAUUCAUUUUAAAGACCACAUGGUUGAGCAUGACCUUCAAUCCUAUCCAUUCUACCUCAUCUUACUUUUCCACUCACAGACAAUAUUCCCCAUCACAUGCCCAAUACUUCUGCCUCAAAUGCUUGCCUUCAGUUGCUGUGUGGGGUCCUUCCUGGGACAUUCCUUAUACUUACGAACCUCUGUACCUUGGGCCACUUGUGAUCCUGUGCUAAGAUACUGACUAUUCUACCAUCCAUCUUUUCAUAUGGACUUCAGUACCAUAUAACCCCUUCACCUGGUUUGAUUCUCUAUGCUGAAAAUGAACUCUCAACCAUAGUACAAAGUAUUUCUAACAGGGUUUUUUGAAAAUAUAUCACUUGGCCAAAUGAUUUUUUUUAAGUAAAUUUCAGUUGAUUUCACUGCUGCUCGCUUCAAUAUAAAUGAAAAAAGAAAAAAAAAAAACACCACAUAGUUCAUUCACAUACAUUUGGGUAGAAAUCUCAGCUCUGUCCCUUAACUCACAAAGAAAUAAGAUAACUGAGGUCUUUGAACCGGCUAAAUGAGUCCAAUAGUGCCAAUCUUAUUAGAAUUAAGUGAGAUGUACUUUACUACUUGGUUCAUAUCAGUUGCUCAACAAAUUUAAGUUCCUUUCUUAUUUGUUCAUCUUUACAUCCCCCACAUACUCUUGAAUAUUAGGUGCUCAUUUAAUGCUUCUUUUAUUACAGAGGAUUGGAUAUUUGUUUCCCAUGUAGGUGGGAGUGAAUAGAGGGUAAUUCUAUAUAGGCUAACUCCUACAAAGAUGGCGGGGGCCCAUUAUAUUGAAUAUUUCUUAAGCUUUUAAAAAAGUAUCUCCAUAGUGUAUUCUGUUGAUAACUGGUUGUCAACUUACAGUAUAUACUUCUUUCCUAACAAUGUGUUAUUUUACAAUACAUACAAAUAUAAAUUCAUAGAAUAAAUAAUUAUAAUCAAAGCUAGUAACAACAAAAGAAACCUCUAAAUAGUCAAUAUUAAAUGUCAUUUAAAAAAGAACAAACUUUGUGUGUUCUAAGAGGCUACCCAUAUUUUUUAUUUUAAAGGUUAUUAAAAAAAACUAUCAAACUGGCCAUCUAAACAAAGGCGCACCCUCCUUUGAUGACAAUUUUAGAAUUAUCCACUUCAGGAAUUAUUCACAGCAUAUUUGUAAUUCCCAACUGGACUCUCCUUGCCUGCCAGCACUCUUGGGCUGCAUUCUGCCUGUACUCAGGAAACACAGUCAUUUCUACAUUAGGCAAAGUGAAAUAUAAUUACAAAUGUAUGUCUCCUGCCAAAAGUUCAUAAUGCAUGCCGAAAACAAAUAGACACUGCCUACGGUUGAUCUACUGUUUGGGUUUUCCACACUGCGUUCCCCUUGCGUUAGCACAGAUGAAUUCAGGUAACCAGAUUCUACUUAAGAACAGUGACAUUUUAAUCUUUAAAAAUGAAAACCCUCAAAAUAUUAGCCAUUAUUUCAAUUUAAGCUCAAAAUCCCCUAAACCAGCAGUCAUCUGUGAAGCAUUUUUUUCUUCUUCUUCUUGAGAUGGAGUCUUGCUCCGUUCCCCAGGCUGAAGUGCGGUGACACAAUCUCGGCUCACUGCAACCCCCACCUCCCAGGUUCAAGAGAGUCUCCUGCCUCAGCCUCCCAAGUAGGUGGGACUACAGGUGCCUGCCACCACGCCUGGCUAAUUUUUUGUAUUUUUAGUAGAGACAGGGUUUCACCUUGUUAGCUAGGAUGGUCUCAAUCUCCUGACCUCGUGAUCUGCCCGCCUCGGCCUCCCAAAGUGCUGGGAUUACAGGCGUGAGCCACCGCACCCGACCCUGUGAAGCGAUUUUAACAUGACACAUGUCAAGCAUGAUAACCUGCUUGAUUUGAACUCACUGCUUUUUCACUUCUUCAGAAAUCUUACCUAAAUGCUUUCAGAGUGACCCUUUCCAAACAGUGUCAUUUUCCAAACGGGCCACUUCACAAAAUAAAAGAAAACCAGGUGGGUUGAAUGAUUUUCCUUUGCAUUUAGAAAAUUCUUGAGUUUUUUAACCCUUGUACCAUAUCAAAAACUAGAUCAAAGGUCUGAUAAAUGUCAUAUUUACCAUCUCAAAAGAUACAGCCAGUUCUCUUUUUUAUAUUGUAAAAAGGCCAUGUCUCCAUCUGGGCAUUUGUUCCCACUCUUUUAUUCCCCUGCGCCUACCCUUGAUAUUCACUGCCUUCUCCCGUUGGCACCUCAGCCUCUACAAUGAUACAACAAAAUACAGAUGUUUCCUCUUGCCCUGAUAACAAGAGAAACUUCCCAGAGCAGCAAACGAGAUCUCUAAAUCUCCAAGCAAUAUGAACUUUCAAGCAACUCCUCCCCAAACGGCAAAUCCAAGGGAGAAAGUGGGAGACAGAGAUGGGCAGUUCUGCAGCUUUAAUCAAAGUCUCCGUGCACUGCAGUUUCAAAGGGCAGGCAUCCGUACCCAGAAAGAAUAAGAUCUUUAAAAAGAGGCUUUCUCUUUCAUUUUUAUGAUAUGCAAAUACUCAGAGUUUAUUCUGCCUCCUCAAAAUGAAAACCUGUACAAAGUCGUAAUUUGGCUCCAAAUGUUGACUAGGUGAUGUGGAGUAGUGCAUUAUCAUGAAAAAUUGUUCUCUGGAAAAGGAUGACUUCCUGCCGGACUGACCAUCACUCUUGCCUCUUCAGACCAGACCCUCUCUUUAGCUUUAAACUUGUCCAAAGCAGCCAAGUUCAGCCAGUAUUAGCACUUCCUCCCUAUCUCAUAAUCCACAACUAUUAG
rnacentral:lncRNA from 10 species